rnacentral:rRNA from 1 species
CAGCCGCCACGGUAAUACGUAGGGUGCAAGCGUUAAUCGGAAUUACUGGGCGUAAAGCGUGCGCAGGCGGUUUGUUAAGACAGAUGUGAAAUCCCCGGGCUUAACCUGGGAACUGCAUUUGUGACUGGCAAGCUAGAGUCUGGCAGAGGGGGGUGGAAUUCCGCGUGUAGCAGUGAAAUGCGUAGAUAUGCGGAGGAACACCGAUGGCGAAGGCAGCCCCCUGGGCCAACACUGACGCUCAUGCACGAAAGCGUGGGGAGCAAACAGGAUUAGAUACCCCGGUAGUCCCUGUCUCUUAUAC